CUUGAGAGCUGACCUUCUUGGACUGCCAUAUGAUGAUCUUCUGCGGCGGUUUCUUGAAGUGGGUUUUUAAGCGUUUUGUGCUGCUGGGUUUCAGUUGAGAAGAAGGUACUUUAAUAAUGGUUGAAGUUACUGUCUUUGCCUUUGACAAUCUUGAGAAUUUUGAGGGUUUAAGGGGUUGAAGAAUCAGAGAAGACGAAGAUGCGUAGGAAAUGAAAGUGGUCAUCUUUUACUGGUAGUUUUGUUUGUUACAGUCUGUCUCUUAUCCUAUGUUUUAUACUUGAUGCUGCCUGCACUCUUUUACUGAUA
rnacentral:lncRNA from 1 species